GUUGGGUAGGGGAGCGUUCUGUAAGCCUGUGAAGGUGGCCUGUGAGGGUUGCUGGAGGUAUCAGAAGUGCGAAUGCUGACAUAAGUAACGAUAAAGCGGGUGAAAAGCCCGCUCGCCGGAAGACCAAGGGUUCCUGUCCAACGUUAAUCGGGGCAGGGUGAGUCGACCCCUAAGGCGAGGCCGAAAGGCGUAGUCGAUGGGAAACGGGUUAAUAUUCCCGUACUUGGUGUUACUGCGAAGGGGGGACGGAGAAGGCUAUGUUGGCCGGGCGACGGUUGUCCCGGUUUAAGCGUGUAGGUGUGUGUUCCAGGUAAAUCCGGUUCACUUUAACACUGAGGCGUGAUGACGAGGCACUACGGUGCUGAAGCAACAAAUGCCCUGCUUCCAGGAAAAGCCUCUAAGCAUCAGGUAACAUCAAAUCGUACCCCAAACCGACACAGGUGGUCAGGUAGAGAAUACCAAGGCGCUUGAGAGAACUCGGGUGAAGGAACUAGGCAAAAUGGUGCCGUAACUUCGGGAGAAGGCACGCUGACACGUAGGUGAAGUGAUUUACUCACGGAGCUGAAGUCAGUCGAAGAUACCAGCUGGCUGCAACUGUUUAUUAAAAACACAGCACUGUGCAAACACGAAAGUGGACGUAUACGGUGUGACGCCUGCCCGGUGCCGGAAGGUUAAUUGAUGGGGUCAGCGCAAGCGAAGCUCCUGAUCGAAGCCCCGGUAAACGGCGGCCGUAACUAUAACGGUCCUAAGGUAGCGAAAUUCCUUGUCGGGUAAGUUCCGACCUGCACGAAUGGCGUAAUGAUGGCCAGGCUGUCUCCACCCGAGACUCAGUGAAAUUGAACUCGCUGUGAAGAUGCAGUGUACCCGCGGCAAGACGGAAAGACCCCGUGAACCUUUACUAUAGCUUGACACUGAACAUUGAGCCUUGAUGUGUAGGAUAGGUGGGAGGCUUUGAAGUGUGGACGCCAGUCUGCAUGGAGCCGACCUUGAAAUACCACCCUUUAAUGUUUGAUGUUCUAACGUGGACCCGUAAUCCGGGUUGCGGACAGUGUCUGGUGGGUAGUUUGACUGGGGCGGUCUCCUCCUAAAGAGUAACGGAGGAGCACGAAGGUUGGCUAAUCCUGGUCGGACAUCAGGAGGUUAGUGCAAUGGCAUAAGCCAGCUUGACUGCGAGCGUGACGGCGCGAGCAGGUGCGAAAGCAGGUCAUAGUGAUCCGGUGGUUCUGAAUGGAAGGGCCAUCGCUCAACGGAUAAAAGGUACUCCGGGGAUAACAGGCUGAUACCGCCCAAGAGUUCAUAUCGACGGCGGUGUUUGGCACCUCGAUGUCGGCUCAUCACAUCCUGGGGCUGAAGUAGGUCCCAAGGGUAUGGCUGUUCGCCAUUUAAAGUGGUACGCGAGCUGGGUUUAGAACGUCGUGAGACAGUUCGGUCCCUAUCUGCCGUGGGCGCUGGAGAACUGAGGGGGGCUGCUCCUAGUACGAGAGGACCGGAGUGGACGCAUCACUGGUGUUCGGGUUGUCAUGCCAAUGGCACUGCCCGGUAGCUAAAUGCGGAAGAGAUAAGUGCUGAAAGCAUCUAAGCACGAAACUUGCCCCGAGAUGAGUUCUCCCUGAGACUUAAAGUCUCCUGAAGGAACGUUGAAGACGACGACGUUGAUAGGCCGGGUGUGUAAGCGCAGCGAUGCGUUGAGCUAACCGGUACUAAUGAACCGUGAGGCUUAACCUUACAACGCCGAAG
rnacentral:rRNA from 1 species